AUAGACCCUUCUCCCUGCUGCCAUCCACUCAGGGCAUUGUGCUUAGUGAAAGCCCAGUUUCCGCAGGGAUUACUUUGGGCACACAACAUUCUAGGAGCUGGAUGUCCAGGAAUUCCUGUUAAUUAGGCAUUUAUUCACGGAAUAAAUGUUUCCCUGAAGAGCUUUCUGCAGCUGGCCAAUGUUCCGGUUUGGUCGUGGGCAGUGAGAUGCCCAUUAGUCUAGAAUACACGACAGUGUGAGGCGCACGUUCACACGUGAAUUGCCCGUAGUCAAGGAUCUUGCUAUGGUGCCCAGGCUGGCCUUGAACUUCUGGCCUCAAGCAAUCCACCCAUCUCAGUCUCCCGAGUAGCCGGGAUUACAGAUCUACAUUUAGAACAGGACUGCAAAGAAAGGAAAGGAGAAAUGAAGAAAAGGAAGCAGACAAAGUUCUGGUUUUCAGUAGUUCCUUGGAGAGCUCAAGACUCAGACUCUGACCCUGUCUGCAAAGGGGGAUCGUCCAGCCUUUGAAAUAACCAUUUCCUUCCCUCCUGGCCUUUUUCAGAUCAGAGAGGUGGGAGGGGGCGUGGAGAUUUAGUUCCCGGAUGCACUGAACAGGAGGCUGUGAGCUUUCCUCUGAUGUGCGACUCUUCUGCAGGGGCCCUGGCCCUGGGAGGCGGGGCUCUGGGCUGCGGCAGCUCCUCCUGUGGUCUACCUUGGCUUCACUGCAGGCCCAGCUGCUGCUGACCACGCGGGUUUCUUUUAAGAGGCUUGGCUGACCCUCAGCACAGCUGAAAUGUUCUGAGACCUUGAAUGUCAGAGAUGGAAGCAACUUUAUGAUUCUCUGGGCCAGAGGUUCCCAGGCUGGGGUCCCUGGACUUGGGGUGCUCAGACUAUUCCCGGUUCUUUCAAAAGCUGAAAAGAAACAGUAUAUAGCCCCUGUGUGAGGGCUCACGGGCUCGUAAAAGUAUCCGGUGUCUUGACUUUUCUCUGAAAUCAGCUCCAGCUGGUCCCUCUGUACCCUGGUGUUGCUGGUGACAGUGAUAGCUUCCCACUGAACUUAGCUGCUAGAAGCAAGGUGAAGCCCUUCACACACCAUCUCACUGAUCUUCGAUCCUGUAAGAUGGGUACGUUUAUGAGUCCUAUUUUGCAGAUGGAGACACUAAGUGCCAAAGGGGUUAAGCACUGUGCCCGAGUUCACACACCCAGCAGCCUGACUCCACAGCUCCAACCCCCAGCUACUAGCAAAUAGUCCUCUGAAAGCUCAGUUAUUUAGCUUUGAACACAGCAAAACUCAUCAUUAUUCAGGGAAGAUAAUUUAGUAGAGAAAAUGUUGAGAUCUAAGUACUACACUUAGGAGGAAUAAUAAAAGGGUUGGUGGAAUAGUUGAGGAUAUGCCAUUUUUAAUUUUUUAUUGAUUUUGUUUUGUUUUGUUUUGUUUUUCUUUGCUCUUGAGAGAUGGCACAUGCCACUUUGUUUUGUAAAACAAAGGCCUAGAGAAGUGAGGGUCCUGCCCAGUGUCAUCUUGGGAACUGGUAGCCAGGACGAGAACUUGUUUCACUUUGCGUGGACUUCUUGGGUCUGACUCCAGAGGGCCUCCAGGGCAGCAGUGGCUUGUCCCGAGCUGAUGGCAUAUGACUGGGGGUUCCCUGGAAGGGUCUC
rnacentral:lncRNA from 1 species